rnacentral:rRNA from 1 species
AGAUUGAACGCUGGCGGCAUGCUUUACACAUGCAAGUCGAACGGUAACAGGCCGCAAGGUGCUGACGAGUGGCGAACGGGUGAGUAAUGCAUCGGAACGUGCCCAGUCGUGGGGGAUAACGCAGCGAAAGCUGUGCUAAUACCGCAUACGAUCUAUGGAUGAAAGCGGGGGACCGAAAGGCCUCGCGCGAUUGGAGCGGCCGAUGUCAGAUUAGCUAGUUGGUGGGGUAAAGCCCACCGAAGGCGACGAUCUGUAGCUGGUCUGAGAGGACGACCAGCCACACUGGAACUGAGACACGGUCCAGGUACC